ACUGGGACUGAGACACUGCCCAGACUCCUACGGGAGGCUGCAGUCGAGGAUCAUUUGCAAUGGGCGCAAGCCUGACAAUGCGACGCUGCGUGGAGGAUGAAGGCCUUCGGGUUGUAAACUCCUGUCAUUUGGGAACAAGCUCGGGGAGGGGAUAAUCCUUUCCGGGGUGAUAGUACCAGAAGAGGAAGUCACGGCUAACUCUGUGCCAGCAGCCGCGGUGAUACAGAGGUGGCAAGCGUUGUUCGGAUUUACUGGGCGUAAAGGGUGCGUAGGUAGUUUUGCGUGUCAGAUGUGAAAGCUCAUCGCUCAACGAUGAAAGUGCAUUUGAAACUGCAGGACUGGAGUACGGGGGAGGAGAGUGGAAUUCUUGGUGUAGCGGUGAAAUGCGUAGAUAUCAAGAAGAACACCGGUGGCGAAGGCGACUCUCUAUCCCGAUACUGACGCUGAGGCACGAAAGCUGGGGGAGCAAACAGGAUUAGAUACCCUGGUAGUCCCAGCCUUAAACGGUGUACACUUGGUGUGGGAGGAUUUGACCCCUUCUGUGCCGGAGCUAACGCGUUAAGUGUACCGCCUGGGGAGUACGGCCGCAAGGUUAAAACUCAAAGAAAUUGACGGGGGCCCGCACAAGCGGAGGAGCAUGUGGCUUAAUUCGAUGCAACGCGAAGAACCUUACCAGGACUUGACAUGCAACUGCACGUCCCGUGAAAGCGGGAUUCCUUCGAGGGUGUUGCACAGGUGCUGCAUGGCUGUCGUCAGUUCGUGCCGUGAGGUGUUGGGUUAAGUCCCGCAACGAACGCAACCCUUGUGUUUAGUUGCCACCACCGGUGAUGAAUCGGUGAGCACUCUAAACAGACUGCCCAUAUCAAGUGGGAGGAAGGUGAGGAUGACGUCAAGUCAGUAUGGCCUUUAUGUCCUGGGCUGCACACGUGCUACAAUGGCCGGUACAGAGGGAAGCAAGACCGCGAGGUGGAGCUAAUCCUAAAAAACCGGUCCCAGUUCGGAUUGAAGUCUGCAACUCGACUUCAUGAAGUUGGAUUCGCUAGUAAUGGCGCAUCAGCUACGGCGCCGUGAAUACGUUCCCGGGCCUUGUA
rnacentral:rRNA from 1 species